CGGCGACCGGCAAACGGGUGCGGAACACGUACGCAACCUACCCAAAACUGGGGAAUAGCCCGGGGAAACCCGGAUUAAUACCCCGUAACAUAUUGAAAAGGCAUCUUUUUAAUAUUAUAGCUCAGGCGGUUUUGGAUGGGCGUGCGGCUGAUUAGGUAGUUGGCGGAGUAACAGCCCACCAAGCCUGCGAUCAGUAACUGGUGUGAGAGCACGACCAGUCGCACGGGCACUGAGACACGGGCCCG
rnacentral:rRNA from 1 species